AUGUCUUUGCUAGCGGACCCCAGUGGUUCGUCAGGGAAGAAACUAGAAGAUCCCAGCGUUCUUCUGGAGAGGUUACACUUGGAAGAAGAUGAACUUGAUGAUCUGAUCUGGGAAGAGGAGGCAGAUGGUCCAGAGGAAAAACCUAAGUGGCUCGCGCUUGCUAGGGUUCUGACAGAAAAGACCUUUGGACAGGGUGCUCUAAUUGCCGACAUGAGGGCGGCCUGGAAUCCAGCAAAGGAUGUGAUAUGGCGUCGAAUUAAUCCAAACUUGUUCUCUGUCUAGUUUAAUUGUUUGGAAGAUUGG
rnacentral:rRNA from 1 species